rnacentral:rRNA from 1 species
UGGGGAAUAUUGCACAAUGGACGGAAGUCUGAUGCAGCGACGCCGCGUGGGGGAUGAAGGCUUUCGGGUUGUAAACUCCUUUCAGUACAGAAGAAGCUUUAUUGUGACGGUAUGUGCAGAAGAAGCGCCGGCUAACUACGUGCCAGCAGCCGCGGUAAUACGUAGGGCGCGAGCGUUGUCCGGAAUUAUUGGGCGUAAAGAGCUCGUAGGCGGUUUGUCGCGUCUGGUGUGAAAGACCGGGGCUUAACUCCGGGGCUGCAGUGGGUACGGGGAGGCUGGAGUGCGGUAGGGGUAACCGGAAUUCCUGGUGUAGCGGUGGAAUGCGCAGAUAUCAGGAGGAACACCGAUGGCGAAGGCAGGUUACUGGGCCGUUACUGACGCUGAGGAGCGAAAGCAUGGGGGGCGAACAGG